GCUUUCUGCAUGCUGUACAACUGGAGGUCAGUCACAUUCACGUGUCUGGGUGAAAGCUGGAGACUGUAAUUACAGCUUACCUGCAUUGGAAAUAAGAGUCUGCCCAGACUAGAAUGGAUUUGUAUAUUUUAAAUUGAGAGAGGGUCUAACUUAAAAUAUUUUGGGGCAAAAUGUAUUUCAGGGAAUAAUGAAGAGUCCACCUACCACUGCAGCAGACAUCAAAACAAGAGCAGAGCACAGCUGACAAUGCAGGAUCCAGAGAGUGGAAACUGUAAGCAACCCAGGAGUAUCAGUUUGCUCAACCAUGAGUAAACAAAUGCACAGUCCUGGCAAAUGAACCUGUGCAGUCUGUGGGAUAGAGGAGUACAGAUCAUGAAUACAUCACAAAGCUGACUGGACCCUAGACCAUCUUAUCCACUGCACUGGGGCUGUUGCCAGUGAUUGAACAUCCUUUGGAACAACCACAAUUUCAACUGUAAUCUCUUCCUUGUAGCUUGCAACACUCCUCCUACACACAAGAUUAAAAUUCCCUGCUGCAGCAUUUGUUAGCUUCUCUCGUUCUGUUCAGUGUGAUGGCCCAGAAAGCUGUGGUAUUAAAUCAAACCGGUGUUUAGAAAGAUAAAGAGCUGUAUCCAGCAUUCAGAAGAAGCUCUGUGAGUUUGCACAUUUGAGCUAUGUGCCACAGUCAUGCCUGAGUUUGGAAGGAAUAUGACCACAUCAAGGAAAGUACUCCAAACUGGAUUUGACUAAAACUCAAAAGAUGGACUAAUCUGAAUACCACAGAACUGAACAGUGGAUAAUGUUGCGGGUACAAAUGGCAGUCUCACCACUGAGAAGAAAACAAGCUGUAUAUCAUUAGGGGUUUAUCUGUUGUAUCCCCUGCCAUGAUUUUUGUGGGGCUGGUCCUACACAGAUUUUAAUUCUUGCUGUGGUUUUUGUUACAUAGUCAGUUCAUGUUAUGAUGAAGACAGAAAGAAGGGAAAGAUGCCUGUGAUAUCUCAAGGACAUUUUCAUCAAAGAUGCCCAGAGUCAGUCUAGUUCAAAGAGCUAAGAAGGACAGCCAGUGAUUCUGCUUACUGAACUGAUGAAUCCCAACAGUUUCUUAUCAGCCAUCUGACCUGCUUUCUUCUCUGGCAACACACUAAUUCAUAUAAAAUCUGUAUAUGGUGCAAAGUGUCGUGUUUCAUUAUCUGGGUAAGUCCCGGGAUGGGCAGAGUGCAGCAGCAUACAGUGCUGGGGAGGGGGGAUGUGGGGGCAGCCUUCACUGCUAAUGCAGAGCUGAGAACAAGCAGCUUUGACUUGGCUGAGUCUAUCUGCCAAACUAGUGACUUCUGCUGGGAAACAGAACUUUCCCCCUCUUUCUUUAGAUCCCAGCUGAGCUUCAAUGCUCUGUGUUUCUCUCUAACAGGAAAGCUGUCUUCUCUCCUCCUCUGCCAUCUGUGCUCCAUCCUUAUUCUCACAUGUGACUUACUGUAGCUGCAGUCUCAUUAACUUUCAAUACUUGCAGCCUAACACGACUUAACUGGGGGGCUUGAAAGGAGAGGUAGGGC
ensembl:lncRNA